GAGGAAUGUAUAGCAAUAGCUACUUGCAUCAUUGUAGUUAUGAUGCAAGAUCGACUAUGUGGAAUAAAAUUCUAGGUAGAAUUAUGAUAAUGACAUUGUCUGCCUAUGUGUCUUGACCAAAUUACGUGCCAGCAGUCGCGGUAAUACGUAGAAGACUAGUGUUAUUCAUGUUUAAUCGGUUUAAAGGGUACCUAGACGGCAAAUCAAGCUUUCUUUUAAAAAGAAUUAAAGGACUAAUUUGCUAGAGUUACUUCUGAGGGGGUAUUAAAGUACUGGUGGUGUAGAGAUGAAAUUCUGUCAUACCUCAUUUCGAUAAAAUAGAAAUAUUAUGGCACAGGUAUAGGCGAAGGCAUCCCCUUAUGUGAUAACUGACGUUGAGGGACGAAGGCUUUGUAUAGCGAACAGGAUUAGAUACCCUAGUAGUCGAAGCAGAAAAUGAUGAAUGUCAUAGAUUAGAUAUAUAAGUUUAUUCUAUAAAUGAAAGUGUAAGCAUUCCACCUCAUGAGUAAUUUGGCAACAUUGGAACUGAAAUCAUUAGACCGUUUCUGAAACCAG
rnacentral:rRNA from 1 species